UGUUUAGGUUUACUUAUGCAACAAAGCUACGUGGUUAGGUUUAGGUAACAAAACUAUGUGGUUAGGUUUAGGCAACACAACUACGUGGUUAGGUUUAGGCAACACAACUAUGUGGUUAGGUUUAGGCAACAAAGCUAUGUGGUUAUGUUUACGCAACAAAACUAUGUGGUUAGGUGUAGG